rnacentral:rRNA from 1 species
GACGAACGCUGGCGGCGUGCUUAACACAUGCAAGUCGAACGGAAAGGCCCUGCUUUUGUGGGGUGCUCGAGUGGCGAACGGGUGAGUAACACGUGAGUAACCUGCCCUUGACUUUGGGAUAACUUCAGGAAACUGGGGCUAAUACCGGAUAGGAGCUCCUGCUGCAUGGUGGGGGUUGGAAAGUUUCGGCGGUUGGGGAUGGACUCGCGGCUUAUCAGCUUGUUGGUGGGGUAGUGGCUUACCAAGGCUUUGACGGGUAGCCGGCCUGAGAGGGUGACCGGCGACAUUGGGACUGAGAUACGGCCCAGACGCCUACGGGAGGCAGCAGUGGGGAGUAUUGCACAAUGGGCGGAAGCCUGAUGCAGCAACGCCGCGUGCGGGAUGACGGCCUUCGGGUUGUAAACCGCUUUCGCCUGUGACGAAGCGUGAGUGACGGUAAUGGGUAAAGAAGCACCGGCUAACUACGUG